rnacentral:rRNA from 1 species
CAAUCAAACCGGGAGAUAGCUGGUUCUCCCCGAAAGCUAUUUAGGUAGCGCCUCGUGAAUUCAUCUCCGGGGGUAGAGCACUGUUUCGGCUAGGGGGCCAUCCCGGCUUACCAACCCGAUGCAAACUGCGAAUACCGGAGAAUGUUAUCACGGGAGACACACGGCGGGUGCUAACGUCCGUCGUGAAGAGGGAAACAACCCAGACCGCCAGCUAAGGUCCCAAAGUCAUGGUUAAGUGGGAAACGAUGUGGGAAGGCCCAGACAGCCAGGAUGUUGGCUUAGAAGCAGCCAUCAUUUAAAGAAAGCGUAAUAGCUCACUGGUCGAGUCGGCCUGCGCGGAAGAUGUAACGGGGCUAAACCAUGCACCGAAGCUGCGGCAGCGAACGUAUCACCCAAGACAACUUUACGGAGUUGACGAUUGACGGAGCGAAGCGACGUCAAAGCGUUCAUUAAAGUCGAGUUGGCUUAGGGAUACGUUCGUUGGGUAGGGGAGCGUUCUGUAAGCCUGUGAAGGUGUGUCGUGAGGCAUGCUGGAGGUAUCAGAAGUGCGAAUGCUGACAUAAGUAACGAUAAAGCGGGUGAAAAGCCCGCUCGCCGGAAGACCAAGGGUUCCUGUCCAACGUUAAUCGGGGCAGGGUGAGUCGACCCCUAAGGCGAGGCCGAAAGGCGUAGUCGAUGGGAAACGGGUUAAUAUUCCCGUACUUGGUGUUACUGCGAAGGGGGGACGGAGAAGGCUAUGUUGGCCGGGCGACGGUUGUCCCGGUUUAAGCGUGUAGGUGUGUGUUCCAGGUAAAUCCGGUUCACUUUAACACUGAGGCGUGACGACGAGGCACUACGGUGCUGAAGCAACAAAUGCCCUGCUUC